CGUAGGUGGCGAGCGUUAUCCGGAAUUAUUGGGCGUAAAGAGCGCGCAGGUGGUUGAUUAAGUCUGAUGUGAAAGCCCACGGCUUAACCGUGGAGGGUCAUUGGAAACUGGGAGACUUGAGUGCAGAAGAGGAGAGUGGAAUUCCAUGUGUAGCGGUGAAAUGCGCAGAGAUAUGGAGGAACACCAGUGGCGAAGGCGGCUCUCUGGUCUGUAACUGACGCUGAUGUGCGAAAGCGUGGGGAGUCAAACA
rnacentral:rRNA from 1 species